CCUACGGGGGGCAGCAGUGAGGAAUAUUGGUCAAUGGACGAGAGUCUGAACCAGCCAAGUAGCGUGAAGGAUGACUGCCCUAUGGGUUGUAAACUUCUUUUAUAUGGGAAUAAAACAGGGUAUGCAUACCCUCUUGUAUGUACCAUAUGAAUAAGGAUCGGCUAACUCCGUUCCAGCAGCCGCGGUAAUACGGAGGGUCCGAGCGUUAUCCGGAUUUAUUGGGUUUAAAGGGAGCGUAGGUGGAUUGUUAAGUCAGUUGUGAAAGUUUGGGGCUCAACCGUAAAAUUGCAGUUGAAACUGGCAGUCUUGAGUACAGUAGAGGUGGGCGGAAUUCGUGGUGUAGCGGUGAAAUGCGUAGAUAUCACGAAGAACUCCGAUUGCGAAGGCAGCUCACUGGACUGCAACUGACACUGAGGCGCGAAAGUGUGGGUAGCAAACAGGAUUAGAUACCCCAGUAGUC
rnacentral:rRNA from 1 species